AGAUAUUGUUUGUUGAUUACGGAAUCACAGAAUGGGUAGAUAGAACCAAUAUCUGUCCCAUCAUGCCUCAGUUUCUUCAUCUUCCCUUCCAAUCUGUCGAAUGUUACUUGGCCAAUAUCGAGCCGAAAUCUGAGGAGUGGACCGAGGAAUCCAGGUUAGUGUGCACCAUUCGUGAAUAAGAGAUGAUCCUUACUGGACAUCUAAGAAGAACGGUUUAAAACUGAUAGAGCUAUCCAGUAUAAAUAAAGUUAGAUUAGUUUAGGUUUCCUCCUGUGGUAACACUGGAUCAAUAAGAGAUGAUCCUUACUGGACCUCUAAGAAGAACGGUUUAAAACUGAUAGAGCUAUCCAGUAUAAAUAAAGUUAGAUUAGUUUAGGUUUCCUCCUGUGGUAACACUGGAUCAAUAAGAGAUGAUCCUUACUGGACCUCUAAGAAGAACGGUUUAAAACUGAUAGAGCUAUCCAGUAUAAAUAAAGUUAGAUUAGUUUAGGUUUCCUCCUGUGGUAACACUGGAUCAAUAAGAGAUGAUCCUUACUGGACCUCUAAGAAGAACGGUUUAAAACUGAUAGAGCUAUCCAGUAUAAAUAAAGUUAGAUUAGUUUAGGUUUCCUCCUGUGGUAACACUGGAUCAAUAAGAGAUGAUCCUUACUGGACCUCUAAGAAGAACGGUUUAAAACUGAUAGAGCUAUCCAGUAUAAAUAAAGUUAGAUUAGUUUAGGUUUCCUCCUGUGGUAACACUGGAUCAAUAAGAGAUGAUCCUUACUGGACCUCUAAGAAGAACGGUUUAAAACUGAUAGAGCUAUCCAGUAUAAAUAAAGUUAGAUUAGUUUAGGUUUCCUCCUGUGGUAACACUGGAUCAAUAAGAGAUGAUCCUUACUGGACCUCUAAGAAGAACGGUUUAAAACUGAUAGAGCUAUCCAGUAUAAAUAAAGUUAGAUUAGUUUAGGUUUCCUCCUGUGGUAACACUGGAUCAAUAAGAGAUGAUCCUUACUGGACCUCUAACAAGAACGGUUUAAAACUAAUAGAGCUAUCCAGUAUAAAUAAAGUUAGAUUAGUUUAGGUUUCCUCCUGUACUGACACUGGAUCAAUAAGAGAUUAUCCUUAUACUGGACGUCUAGAGAGAACAGUUUAGAACUGAUAGAGCCAUCCAGUAUAAAUAAAGUUAGUUUAGUUUAGAUUUCCUCCUGUAGUAACAACUGGAUCAAUAAGAGAUCAUCCUUACUGGAGCUCUGGGAAGAACAGUUUAGAACUGAUGGAGCUAUCUUGUGUAAAUAUAGUUUAUAGUUUAGUUUAGGUUUCCUCCUGUAGUAACACUGGAUCAAUGAGAGAUAAUCUUUGUACUGGACCCCUAGGAUGAAUAGUUUAGAACUGAUAGAGCUAUCCAGUAUAAGAAUAGCCUCGCUCCUUGAGUUAUUUAGCUCGUAAGAAAACACAAAGCUAAAAUUUACAAUCUUGAAUUUUAUAGAGAGCACUUCAUAUCACUGAUAGUGGAUAAAACGCUGGUUUGCCAAAUUUUAGCCAUGUAAGUCGAAGUCGAAACGUUUUUAUAUACCUGAAGGG